rnacentral:rRNA from 1 species
UGGGGAAUAUUGCACAAUGGGCGAAAGCCUGAUGCAGCAACGCCGCGUGAGUGAUGAAGGUCUUCGGAUUGUAAAGCUCUGUCUUUUGGGACGAUAAUGACGGUACCAAAGGAGGAAGCCACGGCUAACUACGUGCCAGCAGCCGCGGUAAUACGUAGGUGGCGAGCGUUGUCCGGAUUUACUGGGCGUAAAGGGUGCGUAGGCGGAUGUUUAAGUGAGAUGUGAAAUACCCGGGCUUAACUUGGGUGCUGCAUUUCAAACUGGAUAUCUAGAGUGCAGGAGAGGAGAAUGGAAUUCCUAGUGUAGCGGUGAAAUGCGUAGAGAUUAGGAAGAACACCAGUGGCGAAGGCGAUUCUCUGGACUGUAACUGACGCUGAGGCACGAAAGCGUGGGUAGCAAACAGGAUUAGAUACCCUGGUAGUCCACGCCGUAAACGAUGAGUACUAGGUGUAGGAGGUAUCGACCCCUUCUGUGCCGCAGUAAACACAUUAAGUACUCCACCU